UACGGAAGGCAGCAGUGGGGAAUAUUGCACAAUGGGCGCAAGCCUGAUGCAGCCAUGCCGCGUGUAUGAAGAAGGCCUUCGGGUUGUAAAGUACUUUCAGUCGUGAGGAAGGUGUUAAGGUUAAUAACCUUAGCAAUUGACGUUAGCGACAGAAGAAGCACCGGCUAACUCCGUGCCAGCAGCCGCGGUAAUACGGAGGGUGCGAGCGUUAAUCGGAAUUACUGGGCGUAAAGGGCACGCAGGCGGUUAAUUAAGUUGGAUGUGAAAUCCCCGGGCUUAACCUGGGAAUGGCAUUCAAGACUGGUUAGCUAGAGUCUUGUAGAGGGGGUAGAAUUCCAUGUGUAGCGGUGAAAUGCGUAGAGAUGUGGAGGAAUACCGGUGGCGAAGGCGGCCCCUGGACAAAGACUGACGCUCAUGUGCGAAAGCGUGGGGA
rnacentral:rRNA from 1 species